UUGCUGUUGCAAUUAGACAAGGCAAAUCUCAUGGCUAGUCCAGAGUUUAUGUAGGGGAGGAUUACAUAAGAGAAUUACAAGGGCAUGAAAACAUAGGCCUGAUUCAUUGAUGGUAAUUACCAUAACAAACUACCACUGACACCACUUUGUUCUUCCUUGUAUUAUGAGUAAGUGCUGUAAGAGGAAAUAUAAAUAAGGGACAGAGUCGAGUUUAAAGGGUGGAAAGAUUUCUUAUUUGAGUGAGAACAUUCAGAGAAGAUUUUAUGAUAUCAUUUGGGUUAGAUUUCAGCAGUAUUUGCAAAAUGAUCUCUAAAUCUUUCAUUGCUUCUACAUAUGUUAACUGAAAAUUUUCUGUAAAGAACUUUUAAACAUCAGCCAGGGCUAUUUCAAAAGAUAUUGUCAAGAGUAAAAAGAGAAGUCAUAGACUGGAGGAAAAUAUUUACAAAAGAAAGACAUACCUGAUAAUGGACUAUUAUCCAAAAUAUAUAAAGAACCCUUCAAACUCAACAGUAAGGAUAAAUACUAAAUUGUUUUACU